rnacentral:lncRNA from 1 species
AAAAAAACAAAAAAAACUUAUUAAAUAAUAAAGUCCAUUUACAAUCCAUUUACAAAAUCCAGUUACAUUUAUAGCCCAAGACCCGAUUAGCCUUAUACCCGGUUGCACCCAAAGGCCUAAAACCCUUAGCCCAGAUACCUAAAACUACCCAGUGCCCAAUUACACCCAAGCUCGUAUUAUAGACCAAAUGCUGCCCAAAAUACACAGGGCCCAAGUGGCCCAAUCUGUUAACGAGAGACAGAAGGCUUAGGGUUUCAGAAACCCUAGGCGCCGCAAGCACUCCAACCGUCACUCUCCAAUCGACGCCUCCAUCAGUGCAGUGAUUCUAGGCCCCGUAUCACGCCGUGAUUGGCGCGCGAAUCAACGCCAGUGUGCCAUUAUCAGUGCCCGAUCAUCGCUAGUCUCCUCGUCGUCACCUGCAAAAAGAUAAAGAAGAACACAACAAACAAGGCAAGAAAUCGAAUAGGGAAUAAACCAAACUUGUAAAUAGAGGCUAUAAAAGCCGAAUCAUUUCACUGUAACAAAGACUGAUUUUUACAGAUACAAAAAAUAUACACACAUAUAUACACAGAAGAAAGAAAUAAGAAGCAGUUGUUUACUUAAAAAAUGUGAUUUUGUUAUUUUUUUUCUUCUUAAAAAAGGUGAUUUUGUUAUUUUUUUUGUCUUCUCUGUUCAACGCGUAUAAAUCAUUUAAGAAAAAAAAAGGGUUAAGUUUAAAAGGGAGAAGGGAUUACCUGCGAGUCGCCGAGAGGAACGAAGGCUUUUAGCCUUCCAACCGACAUGUACAGCGGCGCGUACAACACGUGGGCGCUUGCAGUCCAUUGGCCGGAGGCCGGAGGGCUCCCCUUUUCUCCUCUUUCAGAGGAUUUCAAAGUUUUUUUUUUUAAAAAACUGAUUACAAAAUGAAUUUUGGGUUAAGUUUUUACAUAUAUAGCAUUACAAAAACGGUGUCGUUUUGGCUUAGUUCAAUAAGCACUAAAACGACACCGUUUCAACAGAGGAUCCGCGCGUUGACCCGAUGACCUGGGGAGGAUUCGCGUGUUUUUGAUAAAUGGGCAAAUUGCCCAAUCGAUCCUUCCGUUUUUUAAAUUUUAUGAUUUCAUUUUAUUUUUAUUUUAAAUUGGCCCUAACCUUUUAUAUUUAAUUCAAUUUAGUCCCGAUGGCCAUUAAAAUCUAUUCUGGAGAAUGACGUCGUUUUUAGGGAUUAGAGCUAAUUGCCCAGUGAGUCCCUCAGAUUUUAAUGUGUAUUUCAAUUAGGCCCAAAUUUUUUAUUUAUUUGUAAUUAGCCCUAAUUUUUAAUAAAAUUCGAUUUUAGUUUUUUUUAUAUAUUUAAUUUAUUUUAAAAUACUAUAUGUAUUAUUUAUUUUUAUAAACAUUAGUUAUAUAUAAAAACAAUGUAUAUUGUUUUUAUUUCUAUGUUAUAUUAUUAUAUACGUUUCUUAUAAAUUUUUAUUAUAUAUACAUUUUACUUUAUAUAUUAUUUAUUUUACUAUAUUUAUAUAUGUAAAUUAUUAUAUAUUAUUAUAUUAUUUUUAUUAUUAACUAUUUAUUAUGUAUAAUUAACAUUUUUUAAAUUAUUAUUGAAAAUUACAUUUUUAUAUAUCAUUAUCUAAAGUUUAGUAUGUAAUAUUCUAAAAUUUUAACAUGAAAUUUUGUUCCUAUUUAAAAUAUUAAUAUUUUAUAAAUAUAUAUUAAGUAUUUAAGUUAUUAAAUUUAUAUAUUGACUAUUGUUUCUUAAUUUUUUUUAUUAUUUAUAUAUCGUCAAAUAUUUUUACUUCGUUUAUUCUUUUUUGAAUUGAAUUUAGAUUUUAUCCUUCAAUAUAUAAUUUGUUUGUUUAUUUUAGUAUCCUUUAUGUAUUUAUCAUUUUAAUAUAAUAAUCUUAUCUCAUAAAUUAUUUGUUAUUAUUUAUUGUUUUUACACAUUUGCAUGAAAAUUGAUUAUUUAUGGCAUUAUUCCAAGUUGUGUUUGCAUGAAAUGUUAUUGCACAUAUAUUAUAUAACUGGUAUUGUUCUAUUCAUUAUUCGCUACGUUGUAUUUUGCAUGGAAUGAUAAUGCAUGAAUGUGUAUGUUAUUUACAAUUACAUAUGCGUUAAAUGAUAAUGUAUACUGUGUGAUUUACGACAUUAUUUAUUUUUUCUUUAUACUACAUUUGCGUGAAAUGUUGAAGUGUAUAUCAUAUAGCUUAGUUUAUUUAAUAUUAAUCUUUUGUAAUAUGUUAAAUAUAUCAUUGCUUUAAAAAUUAUUUCAUUCGAUCCAAAGGAAUUAAAAGAUAAGGCAAUGUUUUUGGUACUAGGGAAUUCGGGAAAUAGUGCCCUAACAUGCUGGGUUGCGAUUUCCCGUUUGUCUAAAUGCCUAAAGUAUCCUUCUAAAUAAGUUUUGAAAAUCUCAAGAUGAUUUCAGUUACAAAAGUUUAAGAGUAUCGUGUCCAAACAUGCUGGAUGUGAUGUUUAUAUUCUUUGAAGUGAAAGGAUCUUGAUUUUUAAACUCAAAUUAUUACGGUUUUAAAAGAGAUCAUAUUUCUAAAUCCUUUCAAACUUUUGAAAUUAAGGCAAAACUAUUCAAUUUGGUACCAAUUUUGGGCGUUGUGAGGGUGCUAACCCUUCCUCGUACGUAACCGACUCCCGAGCCUAUUUUCUCAUAAUUUCGUAGACCAAAAUGUUUUAUAAGGUGAUCCAAUUACACUUUAAAAGGUUGGUGGCGACUCCCGUUUUCAAAAUACCCUUUGCCUUUUAAAAAGAGGUUUCGACAGCUUGGUGACUUCACUGGGGACAAAACAUUGAUCUGUUUACAUGUGUUUGCUGCAUAUGUUUGUUAUUUGCACACAUUACAUUUUGCAUGACCGCUGUGGUCACACCCUUAAGUGGGAGUGAGAAGCUACGCUUUCGUGAGGUUUUCACCUUCGUAUGGGCUAAUGGAUUGCUUCCGGGAUACAUCCGUACCUAUGUCUUCAUGAGAUUUUCAUCUCCGUAUGGCCAUAGGGAAAUGUGUCCUCUUGAACUGAACUUGGUCCAUAUGAGCUUAUAAUGGGUGAGGACCGAGGAAUCUACUGGUUCAGGUACCCUUGCUUUAGAACCGAAACGCAUAUAGUGAGCUUUAAGUGCUUACCCAAUGGAGUAGAAUGAUAACCUUUAAUAAGGUACCCUUAUAAGUACUUGUUUGUUAUACUUUUAUACGAUACUAACUGAUUUUAUUUUGCUAUCAUUGCAUGUCAUUCAACAUUUAAAGGUAUCGAUUCACGAUUUGAUUUCUGGGUUAGAAACUUUUGUAAUGAGGAAUGAAUAUCUUAAUAAAGUGGAGGACAACACCUCUGUCUAUACCUGGUCAGAGAAAACCCAAUUAGAGAAAGGAGAUAGUAUUAUCGAGGGGUAUACAUCAGAGUUAUCGGACUUCACUUGCAUUAAUUCGACACAAAAUGAGUUUCAAGAGUUGAGAGACAUUUGGGCCCAAUGGGAUGAUGAGGCUAAGCAGCUUUUCUAUUAGUAUUAUAGAGAUCUUCCCUAUUUGCUAGACAUCAAGGUAGAUAAGCAUCUGUUCCGAGCUAUGGUACAGUUUUGGAACCCUGCUUAUAGUUGUUUUACAUUUGGAGAGGUAGACUUAAUACCAACUUUGGAGGAGUAUACGACCUUGCUUCACUGCCCAAAAAUUCAAGGAAACAAAGCUUAUGUUAGGGCUGCUAAUCCCCUAACUUUCGUGAAGAAAUUAAUAAUGAUUACAAGGGUGAGUGAACAGUGGGCUGCAGCUCGAAUCCAACAAAAGGGUGAUAGCAAAUGCAUUCCGUGGGCAGGUUUGAGGGAUUUGAUAUUGGCACACCCAGAUGUGAAGAAGAGGGUUGAUGUCUUGGCCUUAAGUAUGUAUGGAUUGGUGAUUUUCCCAAAAGCUAUGGGGCACAUAGAUGAGGCAGUUGCAGAUUUAUUCGAUCGAGUUAGUAAACAGAACACACCUGUGCCUACAAUCCUAGCCGAGACAUUUAGAUUUUUGAGUGCGUGUCGGAGAGCUGGGGAAGGUAGAUUCAUUGGAUGUGCACAGUUGUUGUUAGUUUGGUUCCACAGUCAUUUUUAGAAGGUAGAUAAAGUUUCUUGCCUAGUGUUCUUCAAAGACUAUUCUCCGCUAAAGGAAGCAGCAGCUACACCAAGGAGGGAUGACAUUACAGAGGAGAGGUGGAUAGAAAUACUUCAGAACCUCUGAGAAGAAGAUGUUAUGUGGAAAGCCCCUUGGAUGACCCCUAGCGAAAUUCUUUAUCGGUGCGAAAGCUUGGAUUGGGUACCUCUUCCUGGAAUUCGGGGAGUUGUUGGUUAUACAACAUUACUUUUCCUAAGGCAAUAUAAGGCGGUGCAGUUUAUAUCGACAAUACAAAGGCUAGCUCAGAAUGACUUCUCAUAUAAAGGGGAUCACUAUAAGAAGAACAUGCGAGAAAUUUUCGAGGCUUGGAAGAAAGUUUGCUGCGUGAAGAUUCUGACUAAAAGUCCGACGUCAACUCUUGAAUACAAAGGGUGGUUUGGUAAGAGGGUCAAUGAUAACAUCCUUAGACCGAGUUUGGAGGCUGCUCGAUCAAUAGAGGAGAAUUUAUGAGUGAUUCCAUCAGAGUUAGAGGUCAUAAAGCAAGAGUUGAAAAGGAAGAGUUUGGAGCUUGGAAGAAAGAUAGAGAAGCUCGAGGAGGAAAAGAUGUACCUAAGCUUAGACGUUAACGUUUAGAAAAUCGAGGUCGAAAAAGUAAGGAAAGAAAAGAGGAAGAUUGAGGAAGACCGAGAUGAUUUGAAGACACAGCUAUCAUUGAAGAGAGCUGGAUUAGGAAAUCUUCAAAGCAGUGGCAACAAGAGGUUCAAGAAGAAAGAGCCAAAGCCAAGUAUUGGGAGAAGAAUUUUCAAGAGAUGCAGUCGCGUAAUCAGGCUAUAGAGAAGGAGAAUCAAGGAUUAAAAACUAAGGUAACUGAGCUGGGACGAUCCCUUCAUCAUCACUGAAGUCAAAACUCUACGGUCGAGUUAAAAGUAAGCCUGGAUAAGAUCGAGGAAAUGAAGCACAAUAUUAGAGGUUUGGAAGCAGCACUACAGGACUGUGAGCUACGGAUUGAGUAGCUUGAGGCAAGAGAAGAACAUUGGAAGGGAGAGCUUCAGUAUUUUCAGGAUCAAGUCAGAGAUAGGGACUACCUCAUGGGAGAAGCUAUAACACAGAUUUGAGAGGUUGCUGAUCAUUUGCAAGACCUGGCGGCGCAAGCUAAUGUGUUAAGUACAAAGUAUGAGUUAGUGUCAGAUAAAGGUCUAGAGUUUGCUUUGUUAUUGAAUAGGGUUAAAACUUUGGGCUUGAGGGCAAAGGCGUACUUGUAAUUCAUUUUGUAUAAAUAUUUUUGUUUCUUAAAUAACGUUUUCUAAAAGAAAUUGAAUCAAAAUCGAUGUCUUUUUACAUUCAUGCAUUUGCAUCUCAUCGCAUCAUAUGCAUCCAAAUUUAUAGAAAGACCCUAAUUAGCUAAAAUUAAUAGGGAGAAUGAGAGUAAGAGAAAGAAAAUCUGGAAGCAACACAUCCUUACGAUACACACGCUAAUUCAAAGAAUAUGGAUCAAAGACUUGAACAGAUUCAGAAAGAAAUACAGGAGCAAUUGCAGGAGCAAUUAGCAAAAAUCCAACAGGAGAUAAGGAUCAAAUGUUGAAAGCUCAAAAGAAAAUGAUGGCUGAGAUGGCUUAGCUAUUGAGGGGGACAACAGAUAAAGGAAAGGCCCCUAUGACUACCACUGAGAAGGAUAAUGAGGGUCAUCUUCCUGGUUUUACUCCGCCUCAUGUGUAGACUUAACCUGAGGCAUAUCCCUAAGGGUCGUCCGUCACAAUAAAGCCUCAAUAGGGACAAGUUGAUGUUGGAAUACCCAUGAACUUUCAAACUGGUUCGGGAUUCAACCUUGGAGACAACCCUGCCAAUCCAGUUAUACCUGAUCUAGAUGUAGCUGAGAGGGAAGAGAUGAGACUCGAAUCAUCAAGGUAAUUAGAGGAACGUUACAGAUGGUUAGAGGAGAAAUUUAAGGCACUAGAAAAUGCUGAUAAUCGUCAGGGAAUUGAUGCUAAGGACUUAAGUCUGGUCCCAGAUUUGGUGCUUCCCCAUAAGUUCAAAAUGUCAGAAUUCGAUAAGUACAAUGGGACUACUUGUCCAGAAGCCCAUAUCACUAUGUUCUGCAGACGAAUGACUGGUUAUGUGAACAAUGAUCAAUUAUUGAUCCAUUAUUUUUAGGAUAGUUUGGUUGGCGCAGCGGCUAGGUGGUAUAAUCAAUUGAGUCGUGCAAGGAUCGAUUCUUGGAGAGACUUAGCGCAAGCCUUUAUGCGGCAAUAUAAUCAUGUGACUGACAUGACUCCUGAUAGAAUCACUUUGCAAAAUAUGGAAAAAAAGCCUAAUGAGAGCUUUAGGCAGUAUGCACAGAGGUGGAGGGAGGUUGCCAUACAAGUUCAACCACCGCUCUUGGAGAAAGAAACUACCAUGAUGUUCAUCAACACUUUAAAGGCCCCAUUCAUUACCCACAUAAUUGGAAGUACCACCAAGAGUUUUGUCGAUAUAAUUAUGGCGGGAGAAAUGAUUGAGAACGCCAUAAGAGGUGGCAAGAUAGAGGGGAAAGCUACUAAAAGAUCAGCCUCAAGAAGGAAGGAUAAUGAGGUGAAUAAUACGAGUAGCUAUAAUUCAAAAGUGGUUACGGUUAGUCAGCCCAAAAUAACUACGGUUGGGCAACAAGAUUCUCAAAAGCAGGGAUCUGGUUCUAGACAAAAUUCUGAAAAGGUCUCAUUUAUGCCUAUCCCAGUGACGUAUCAGGAGCUUUACCAAAGUUUAUUCAAUGCGCAUGCAAUAGCCCCUUUUUAUUUGAAACCGUUACAACCCCUAUAUCCCAAAUGGUAUGAUGCAAACGCCAAAUGUGAGUACCAUGCGGGGAUAUCGGGGUAUUCAAUUGAAAAUUUCACUGGUUUUAAGAAGGCAGUGGAAAGACUAAUUAAGAUGGGGGUUGUAAAAUUUGACGGCACCCCUAGUACAGAGAACCCGUUGCCAAAUCAUGGUGAUCAAGGGGUAAAUGCAGUUGGGGAUAUGAGUAUGAGAAGGAUUAAAGAGGGCGUGUCCGAGGUGAGAACGUCGAUGAAAAUGAUUUGGGAAGAAAUGGUGAAAAGAGAGAUGAUAAUCUCUAAAGAGAGGAAUAAAGAAGUAAGGGACUACUGUGAGUUCCAUGCUGAAGAGGGGCACGAGAUCCAGGAAUGCAACGAGUUUAAGGCCUUGGUAAAAACCCUUAUAGACAAUAAAGAGCUAGAAUUUUAUGAAGUUGGCUCAAAUGAGGGACAUAUAUGCACAUUAAAAGGUGCACCGAAGAAUCAAAAUCGGCCGAGGAUUAUUAUUUCUUUACUAGGAAGUAAUGAAGUUGAAACACCAACGGUACCGAAAGUCAUCAUGCAUAAACCUGUUUAUUUUCCUUAUAAGGAUAACAAGAGGGUACCCUAGAAUUAUAACUGCCAUGUGUCAAUGCUGAAGAAGGAGGAUAUAGCUAGUGCUUCUAAGGAAGCUCAAGGUGAGGGUUCUUACACACGUAGUGGGAAGCGCUACGAGGCAGAAGGCUUCAAAGUUGAGCCUGCAAAAGCAAAAGCUUUAGACAAAGGAAAAGGGACCGAGAUACUGGUUAAUGAGCCAGUGAAGGAAGAAGAAGUCAAAUAAUUUUUAAAAUUCUUAAAACACAGUGAGUACAGUGUGGUUGAACAAUUGUGCAAACAACCAGCUCGUAUAUCAGUGUUAGCUUUGCUUCUAAGUUCAGAGGCACAUCGGGAAGCAUUAAUGAAGGUGCUCAAUGAGACUUAUGUUACUAAUGAUAUAUCCGUCAACAAGUUGGAUCGACUGGUUAGUAACAUAAGUGCUGACAAUUUCAUCUAUUUUAAUGAUGAUGAAAUCCCACCUGGUGGCAUGGGAUUAGCUAAAGCUUUACACAUCACCAUUCGUUGUAAGGGGCAUACACUGCCAAGUGUGCUUAUUGAUAAUGGAUCAACUUUAAAUGUCUUGCCGUUAUCGAUAUUGAACAGAUUGCCUAUAGAUAGUUCUCACAUAAAAACAUGCCAUAAUGUAGUGAGAGCAUUUGAUGGCACGAAGAAAGUCAUGGGAAGAAUCGACAUUCCUUUGAUGAUUGGGCCAAAUACUUAUGAGGUGGACUUUUUAGUGAUGGACAUCAAGCCCUCUUACAAUUGCCUGUUAGGGAGACCUUGGAUAUAUUCGGCAGGAGCGGUGCCCUCAUCUCUGCACCAAAAAUUGAAAUUAGUAGCUGAUGGACGGUUGGUCAAUACAAAUGAGGAGGCGGACAUUAUAGCGACAGUUACCAGUAGUGCACCCUAUGUAGAAGCAAAUGAGGAGGCAAUUGAAUGUUCUUUCUAUUUAUUAGAAUUCAUCAAUACAACAUUCAUUUCAGAGGGGAAUGAAGUGCCGGUGCCUAAGAUAUCCAGAACCACAAGAAUGGGUCUGCAGAUGACAGUGGGGAAGGGAGCUUUACCAGGAAAAAGAUUGGGAAGAUAUCUUCAAGGAGGGAUGCAAAUUCCAGAGUUAAAAGAGAAGAGAGAUCAUUUUGGUUUGGGAUACAAGCCAGAUCAAAAGCAAAUGAGGAAGGAAAUAGAGAAGCGUCAAGAGAGGAGAAGGGCACGUUUAGAUGGAAGAGAGGUAGAGUGGAAACUGAUGAUAUUCCCCCAUAUAACUCAAACCUUUAUAUCAGGAGAGAUGAUUCACCCUGAGAGAGGAUUGCUCGAAAAAGGAGGUUAUCACAUCAAUGCUGUGUAUGAUGAAGAGUCUGAACGAGGAAACCUUGAGGGCAUUCGUCCUUAUGAACUGGGAAGCUCUUUAAACAAUUGGGUUGCAGAAGAACUUCCUGUAGUUUUUAAAGAUUCUUCAGAGUAAUUUUCUGAACACUCUAAUUGCUCUAAAGCCUAGGAGUAGUAAGAUUUCAUUUGUAAAAUAGGCUCAUGUUCGGAUAUUUACAUUUUAAUAAAACGCAACUUUUGUUAUCGAUUCAAGUGAAUAUUCUUUCAUACCGUUCAAUAUUCUUUUGACAUUUAAAUUCUUUCAAAAUUUUUUUCCAUUUCAUUCAUAAUAUAUAAAUAAAUUCAUUCAUUCUUUGUACAUUCUUUCGUACCCCGCAGCCCCCUAGAUAUCAAUGACAUGAGCACUGAUACUACAAAUCCUAGAUUCUCUUUUGAGCAAGACAUGUUUAGAAGAACUUCAGGAUUUUGAAGAUGACAGGGAUUGUGAUAUGUCUCCAAAUCUGUUGAGAAUGGUGAAACAAGAGGAGAAACAAAUCCUACCCCGUGAAAAAAAGGCAAUAGAGAAUGUAGCCUUGGAGGAAGAGAAGGAGGUGAAAAUUGGCACACAUAUUGCUAAGGAAACAAGACAAGACCUUGUUGAGCUACUAUGGGAAUUCAAAGAUAUCUUUGCAUGGUCAUAUAAGGAUAUGCUGAGUUUGAAUAGUGAUAUUGUGGUACAUUGUCUCUCCAUAAGACAAGAAUGUAAGCCAGUCCAACAAAAAUUGCGAAGUAUGAGGCCUGAUAUUGUGCUGAGAAUAAAAGAUGAAGUCAAAAAGCAGUUUGAUGCUGGAUUCCUACAAGAGGUUAAGUAUUCAGAAUGGGUGGCCAACAUUGUGCAUGUCUCUAAGAAGGAUGGGAAGGUACGAAUGUGUGUUGAUUACAGAGAUCUGAACAAAGCUAGCCCAAAGGACAACUUUCCUUUACCACACAUCGACACUUUGGUGGAUAAUACAGCGGGAUAUUCGUUGUUCUCCUUUAUGGAUGGCUUCUCAGGGUACAAUCAGAUAAAGAUGCAUCCUGAGGACACGGAUAAAACCACCUUUAUAACAUUGUGGGGCACUUUUUGUUACAAGGUAAUGCCCUUUGGGUUAAAGAAUGCAGGGGCAACAUACCAAAGGGCUAUGGUGACCUUAUUUCACGAUAUGAUGCACAAGGAGAUUGAGGUGUAUGUUGAUGACAUGAUUGCUAAAUCUCGAACAGAGAUGGAGUAUGUCGAAGUCUUGAGGAAGUUGUUCCUGAGAUUAAGGAAAUUUCAGUUGAAGCUUAAUCCGGCAAAGUGCAUCUUCGGAGCUAGGUCGGGGAAGUUAUUAGGUCUUGUGGUCAGCGAAAAAGGAAUAGAAGUUGACUCAGACAAAGUUAAAGCUAUACGAGAAUUGCCUCCACCACGUAUUCAGAAGGAAGUUCGAGGUUUUCUUGGAAGAUUGAAUUAUAUUUCUCGGUUUAUUUCGUAAUUAACCGAGAAAUGUAAUUCUAUAUUUCGCCUCCUUAGAAAAAACAAUCAAGGUACUUGGGAUGAGGAAUGCCAGAAUGCUUUUGAUAAGGUUAAGCAAUACUUGUUAAAUGCUCCAUUAUCUCCGCCUAGUCCAGAUAGACCAUUAAUUUUGUACCUAUCAGUGUUUAGUAAUUCUAUGGGAUGUGUGCUUGGCCAGCAUGACUAGUCGGGAAGAAAAGAGAAGGCGAUAUACUACCUCAACAAGAAAUUCACAGAGUGUGAGAUGAGAUAUUCGCUAAUUGAGAAAUUGUGUUGUGCUUUAAUCUGAACGACUCGAAGGUUGAGGCAAUAUAUGUUAUAUCAUAUGACUUGGUUAAUCUCAAAACUUGAUCCAUUAAAAUACAUGAUGGAGUCAACAGCACUAAAUGGAAGAAUGGCAAGGUGGCAAAUAUUGCUUUCAGAAUUUGACAUAGUCUACGUGAGUCAAAAGGCUAUAAAAGGAAGCGCGAUAGCAGAAUUUCUAGCUAGCAGGGCCCUAGAAGAUUAUGAGCCGUUGAGCUUUGAUUUCCUUAAUGAGGAGUUGAUGUAUGUGGCAGUCAUUGAGGAAUAUCCUUGGAAGCUAAAUUUUGACGGCGCAUCUAACGCAGUAGGAAAUAGAAUUGGGGCAGUCUUGGUAUCCCCAAAUGGUGAUCAUUAUCCGUUUAUAUGUAAAUUGGAUUUUGACUGUACGAACAACAUGGCCGAAUAUGAAGCAUGCAUUAUGGGGAUUCGAGCAGUCAAAGAGCGGAAAAUCAGAACCUUGGAAGUAUAUGGAGACUCUGCAUUGGUAAUAUACCAGCUUAGGGGUGAAUGGGAGACAAUGGACCCUAAAUUGAUUAAUUAUCGAAAGGUAGUCUUGGAGUUACUUGAGGAGUUUGAUAAAAUCACCUUCAAUUAUCUUCCACGGGACAAAAAUCAGAUGAAGGAAGCUUUGGCAACAUUGGCUUCUAUGAUUAAAGCAAAUAAAUAAGAGGAUGUGAGACCAAUUCAGAUAAGCAUUUCUGAGGUUUCGGCUAAUUGCUGUAGCAUUGAAGAAGAGGAAAAGGAUGACCAUCCUUGGUAUCAAGAUAUACUACGGUAUGUGAGAAAUCGUGAAUAUCCUGAACAGGCAACUAAGAAUGACAAAAGAACUUUAAGAAGGUUAGUUUGUGAAUAUGUACUAGAUGGGGAUAUCCUUUAUAAAAGAAGGAAAUAUCAGGUACUUUUGAGAUGCGUUGACGCUAUAGAAGCUAAACAAAUCCUGGAAGAAGUACAUGAAGGAGUUUGUGGUACACAUGUUAAUGGCAUUACGAUGGCAAGACAAAUCAUAAGGUUUGGAUACUAUUGGUCUACUAUGGAAGGAGAUUGUAUCAGUUAUGCCAAGAAAUGUCAUAAAUGCCAGAUAUAUGGAGACAAGAUCCAUGUACCACCUUCACCCUUACAUGUUAUGACUUCUCCAUGGCUCUUUUCCAUAGGGGGCAUGGAUGUCAUUGGGCCAAUAUCGCCAAAAGCUUCGAAUGGGCAUCGUUUCAUUUUUGUGGUCAUUGACUACUUCACGAAAUGGGUAGAGGUAGCUUCUUAUGCUAGUGUCACCAAGUCAGCAGUAGGGCGAUUCUUGAAAAAGGAGAUCAUUUGUCGGUAUGGAAUGCCUAAGAGGAUCAUAUCAGACAAUGCAUUGAACUUGAACAACAGUACGAUUGCAGAAGUCUGUAGCCAAUUCAAGAUUAAACAUCAUAAUUCAUCCCCAUAUCGCCCAAAGAUGAAUGGGGCAGUGGAAGCUGCUAACAAAAACAUCAAGAUGAUAGUGGGAAAAAUGACUGAAACCUACAAAGAUUGACAUGAGAAAUUACCGUUUGCAUUCUUGGCCUAUCGAACGUCCGUCAGAACCUCUACUGGGGCAACUCUUUUCUCGUUGGUUUAUGGGAUGGAGGCAGUGUUACCUAUUGAAGUGGAAAUACCUUCUCUUCAAAUUUUGUCAGAGAUAAAAUUGGAUGAAGUAGAAUGGAUUCAAUCGCGGUAUGACCAAUUGAACUUUGAUUGAAGAAAAUAGGCUAAGGGCUAUUCGUCAUGGUCAGAUGUAUCAGAAGCGAAUGAUGUGAGCUUAUGACUAAAAAGUUCAUCCAAGAGAAUUUCACGAAGGGAACCUGGUGCUGAAAAAGAUCCUUCCCAUACAGAAAGACUUUAGAGGAAAAUGGAUGCCGAAUUGGGAAGGGAUGUAUGUUGUAAAGAAGGCUUUCUCUAGAGGUGCUUUGAUUUUAACAGAAAUGGAUGGGAAAAGUUUACCUAAUCCAAUAAAUUCAGACUCAGUCAAGAAGUACUUUGUCUAAAGAGAAGGGAAAACAAAGUGAAAAUCAACAAAGGGCGCUUUGAGAUUUCUAAAAAAAAAAUAGAGAGGCCAGGGUGAAAACCCGCAAAGGGCACCUUGAGACCAAAUGGGUUUUGAGUUGAAAACCCAAAAGGGCUGCUCAAAUAUUCGAGAAACGUGCAGGGACUUUGCUAUACCAGAUUUGACAAGAAAUGGAGUGUGUUACAUACCGGGGCAUCCACAAAGUACUUUGGAUCUUCUAAACAGAUGUUAAACUCAAAAUAGUCUUUAUGGAAUUUGUGUACAGAAGCUCAAGUUGUGAUAUGUUGGACAUCAAAUUUUUGUUUUGAUUACUAUCUUUAAAUUAUUUUUCUUCUCAAAGAUAUGUUUUCAGAUUAAUUUCUUGUUGUACUCUGAUGAUUUAUCUAACUAUUCUCAAGAUUAAAUCAUUUUUCUUCCAUUACUCAUAAAGAGUGUUGUAUUGAAAUAAUAAUUGACGAACUAAAUAUUUUUACAAAUGAAGUUUUGCAUAUUACUCUGGAAAUCUCUAGAGAAUACAAAAAACUAAAACAGAACAAUUGUUUAAAGAAUUCUAAUGAGUAAAUGUCAGAGGUACUCGAGGAGAUUUCUUUUUCAAUCCAAAGGAAGAUUGAACAAUUCAAACAAUUCAAUUGUGGGAGAGGAUCGCCUUCAGCAGGUUGUAACAUUAAAAGAAUGGUAUAAUAGGACCAAUUUGAUUUAAAACGUAUGAGCGGAGUAUGAUUGAUACUUGAAGUAAAAUAAAAGUGAAACUUUGAUGGAUGAAUGAGUAAAGACGUCCGAAAUAGGAAUCAUUUUCAUAACAUUUUGCAUAAUUAGGAGCAUUUGAUUCAUUUCGAGCAUGGCAUCUUAAUCAUCAGGCAUGAGUACAUAUGCAUUCUACAGGUUAUGUCCUUUAAUGAACAAUGUAAAUCACCGAUAGCUGAUUUGGCGUCUCCGUAUUGUCAGAGAGCAAAUCGAAGAUAGCAGAUUUAGCGUCUCUGUAUUGACAGAGAGUAGAUCGAAGAUGACAGAUUUGGCGUCUCUGUAUUGUCAGAGAGCAGAUCGAAGAUAACAGAUUUGGCAUCUCUGUAUUGACAGAGAGCAGAUCAAAGAUAACAGAUUUGGUGUCUCUGUAUUGAUGGAGAGCAAAUCGAAGAUAACAGAUUUUGCGUCUCUGUAUUGACAGAGAGCAAAUCAAAGAUAGCAGAUUUGGCGUCUCUGUAUUGACGGAGAGCAGAUCGAAGAUAACAGAUUUGGUGUCUCUGUGUUGACAGAGAGCAGAUCAAAGAUAGCAGAUUUGGCGUCUCUAUAUUGAUAGAGCGCAGAUCAAAGAUAGCAGAUUUGGCGUCUCUGUAUUGACGGAGAGCAGAUCGAAGAUAACAAAUUUGGCAUCUCUGUAUUGACGGAAAGCAGAUCGAAGAUAGCAGAUUUGGCGUCUCUGUAUUGACGGAGAGCAGAUCGAAGAUAGCAGAUUUGGCGUCUCUGUAUUGACAGAGAGCAGAUCGAAGAUAACAGAUUUGGCAUCUCUGUAUUGACGGAAAGCAGAUCGAUGAUAGCAGAUUUGGCGUCUCUGUAUUGACGGAGAGCAAAUCGAAGAUAGCAGAUUUGGCAUCUCUGUAUUGACGGAGAGCAGAUCGAAGAUAGCAGAUUUGGCGUCUUAGUAUUGACAAAGAGCAGAUUGAAAAUAACAGAUUUUGCGUCCCUGUGUUAGAUGGAGAGCAGAUCGAAGAUAGCAGAUCUGACAUUUGUAUGUUUACAUCAAAGCAGAUUGAAGAUGACAGAUUUGGCCUCUCUGUAUUAAGCAAGGAGUAGAUCAAAGAUUUUAGCAUGGCAUUCCUGAGUUUGCAGGGAGCAAGUUGAAGAUAGUAGAUUUGGCGUCUCUGUAUUAACAAAUAGCAGAUCGGAGAUAGCAGAUUUGGCGUCUUAGUAUUGACAAAUAGCAGAUUGAAAAUAAUAGAUUUUGCGUCUCUGUGUUAGAUGGGGAGCAGAUCGAAGAUAGCAGAUCUAACAUUUGUAUGCUUACAUCAAAGCAGAUUGAAGAUGACAGAUUUGGCCUCUCUGUAUUAAGCAAGGAGUAGAUCAAAGAUUUCAGCAUGGCGUUCCUGAGUUUGCAGGGAGCAAGUUGAAGAUAGCAGAUUUAACAUUCCUGAGUUACAGUGAAGCAGUUGGAAGUUAUCAGAAUACCUUUGAGAAGAUAAGGAUCAAGAUUUCGAGACUUGGCCAAGCUAGGCAAAUUUGGUCCUUUUACAAUCUUUGCUCUAUUCCUGUUACACAGUAAUAAGCAAAGAGGGGCAGCUUUAAUAGCCCAAAUUUGCCGGCCCAUAAAUAAAUAAAUAAAUAAGUAAAAAACAAAACAAAAAAGCUUAUUAAAUAAUAAAGUCCAUUUACAAUCCAUUUACAAAACCUAGUUACAUUUAUAGCCCAAGACCCGAUUAGCAUUAUACCCGGUUGCACCCAAAGGCCUAAAACCCUUAGCCCAGAUACCUAAAACUACCCAGUGCCCAAUUACACCCAAGCCCGUAUUAUAGACCAAAUGCUGCCCAAAAUACAUAGGGCCCAAGUAGCCCAAUCUGUUAACGGGAGACAGAAGGCCUAGGGUUUCAGAAACCCUAGGCGCCGCAAGUACUCCAACCAUCACUCUCCAAUCGACGCCUCCAUCAGUGCCGUGAUUCCAGGCCUCGUAUCACGCCGUGAUUGGCGCGCGAAUCAACACCAGUGUGCCAUUAUCAGUGCCCGAUCAUCGCUAGUCUCCUCGUCGUCACCUACAAAAAGAGAAAGAAGAACACAGCAAACAAGGCAAGAAGUCGAAUAGGGAAUAAACCAAACUUGUAAAUAGAGGCUAUAAAAGCCGAAUUAUUUCACUGUAACAAGGACCGAUUUUUACAGAUACAAAAAAUAUACACACAUAUAUACACAGAAGAAAGGAAUAAGAAGCAGUUGUUUACUUAAAAAAGGUGAUUUUGUUUUUUUUUUCUUCUCUGUUCAACGCGUAUAAAUCAUUUAAGAAAAAAAAAGGGUUAAGUUUAAAAGGGAGAAGGGAUGACCUGCGAGUCGCCGAGAGGAA